CACAUCCUUCCUUCCUUAGAUAUGGUGCCCAAAAAUGCUCACAAUAUUCCAAAUGCGGCUUGACCAGCGCGUUAUAGAGCCUCACCAUUACAUCCCUAAAUUUCGGGUCGGG